ensembl:lncRNA
CAACUAUUACACUGGGUGCGAGUCUCCCUGAGUCUCGACCGUGUACACGUAAACCUGUCUGAGCCUUUUUAUUCCGACCUGGGUUGCAAUACAGGAAAACUCCUGACAUAGCGCACUGCAGGAGAUCAGCUAUUUGACAACAACCACUGCAACCCAACUAGAACAACACCCAGCAAUGCUGCAAGAAUUUCCAAGUAUAGCAUUUCGCCUUUCACAACGCUGCAGCAGCUUCUGAUGAAUUUUCAAAUUGAACAAGGGAUGAGAAAAAGAAUACAGAUCUGGAAUUAAUGGACUUUUUCCCCACACUACCACACCCCGAAGAUGGGCUUCUGGACAUACACAAACUGGUUUGGCAGAAUUAAUGUCACUUUCCACCUGAUUUAUAAUCCAGUCUGCAUAUGAUGUGGUUCUGUUGGUUUCAUCAGGUGGCAGCCUCCAGCUCACACUGAAGUUUUCACAGCCAAGUGUGAAUUGGAGGGAAUGAGAAUCACCGCCUCCAAUUCUGAGGCCAUGAUCAUCAGCCAGAAAAGAGCGGAGUCCCCACUCCGGGUCAGGGAUGAGUUGCCCCAAGUGAAGGGAUUGAAAUAUCUCGGGGUCUUGAUCACGAGUGAGGGGGGAGAGCAGGGGAUCGACAGACAGAUUGGUGCUGCUGUGCUGCGAUGAGAGAGCUGAGCGUAAAAGCGAAAACUCUCGAUUUACUGGUCUAUCUAUGUCCCUCCCCUCACCUAUGGUCACGAGCUUUGGGUAAUGACCAAAAGAACGAGAUUGCGGUUAUAAGCGGUUGAAAUGAGGUUUCUCCAAUGAGUGGCUGGCCUCUCGCUUAGAGCUGGGAUAAGAAGUUCGGCCAUCCAGGAGGAGCUCAGAGUAGAACCACUACUUCUCCACAUCGAAAGGAGCCAGUUGAGGUGGUUAGGGCAUCUGACAGGGAUGCCUCCUGGGUGAGGUGUCGGGUGAGGUGAGGUCUGUGCUUCUCUGCUUAGGCAGCUGCCCUGAGACCCAUCCCCAGAUAAACAGAGGAAAAUGGAUGGAUGGAUGGAUGGAUGGAUGGAUGGAUGGAUGGAUGGAUGGAUGGAUGGAUGGAUGGAUGGGCAAUAGAUAAAAAAGUAAGACAAGCUACAGAGAGUCUUAAGAAACUACACAAACUGCAAGGGCAGUGUAAUGUGCAUAUUGGUAUAUGACCUGAAUGCUAUAACACUGGGUUAUUUCACAGUGUUUGUCAGAGUGACAGCCUGGGGGAAGAAACUGUCUUCUCUGUGGCAGCUGGUUUGAGUAAGCAGUGCUGUAUAGUGCCUGCCUGUAGGUAGUAGUUUAAACUGUUUAUAUCUGGGAUGUAAGGGGUCUGCAUACAUAUUUUCUGCUCGUUUUCUAACCCUGGCUAUGUACAGGUCUUGAAUAGGGGGAAGCUCGGCACUGAUGAAACUCUCUGCUGACCUUCUUAUCCUUUGCAGUCUGGCCUGUCCUGCUUGGUGGCUGAGCCGAACCAGACAGUGAUUGAUGUGCACAGCACAGACUGGAUGAUGUGAGUGUGGAAGAUAGUAUACAUAUGGUAUAGUAUAUGUGAAUUGGUCAAUCUAACAUGUAAGUAUUAUGAAAAUAGCAUUUUGUUUAUUUUGUGACUAUCAGCGC